CAGUCGCCACGGUAAUACGUAGGUGGCAAGCGUUGUCCGGAAUUAUUGGGCGUAAAGCGCGCGCAGGCGGAUCAGUUAGUCUGUCUUAAAAGUUCGGGGCUUAACCCCGUGAUGGGAUGGAAACUGCUGAUCUAGAGUAUCGGAGAGGAAAGUGGAAUUCCUAGUGUAGCGGUGAAAUGCGUAGAUAUUAGGAAGAACACCAGUGGCGAAGGCGACUUUCUGGACGAAAACUGACGCUGAGGCGCGAAAGCCAGGGGAGCGAACGGGAUUAGAUACCCCCGUAGUCCCUGUCUCUUAUACA
rnacentral:rRNA from 1 species